UACGGGGGGAGCAAGCGUUGUUCGGAAUUACUGGGCGUAAAGGGCGCGUAGGCUGUGCUGUAAGUCAGGCGUGAAAGCCCCGGGCUCAACCUGGGAAUUGCGCUUGAUACUGCGGCGCUGGAAGGUGGGAGAGGAUGGCGGAAUUCCCAGUGUAGAGGUGAAAUUCGUAGAUAUUGGGAAGAACACCGGUGGCGAAGGCGGCCAUCUGGCCCAUUUUUGACGCUGAGGCGCGAAAGCGUGGGGAGCAAACAGG
rnacentral:rRNA from 1 species